rnacentral:rRNA from 1 species
UACAGAGGGUGCAAGCGUUGUUCGGAAUUAUUGGGCGUAAAGAGCGUGUAGGCGGCCUGAAAGGUCAGCUGUGAAAACUCGAGGCUCAACCUCGAGACGUCGGUUGAAACCAUCUGGCUAGAGUCCGGAAGAGGAGUGUGGAAUUCCCGGUGUAGCGGUGAAAUGCGCAGAUAUCGGGAAGAACACCCGUGGCGAAGGCGGCACUCUGGGACGGUACUGACGCUGAGACGCGAAAGCGUGGGGAGCGAACAGG